rnacentral:rRNA from 1 species
GAAUUAUGGGAACCGGAUCGGACAUUGCAAAGAGUGGCGAACGGGUGAGUAACACGUGGGAAACCUACCUCUUAGCAGGGGAUAACAUUUGGAAACAGAUGCUAAUACCGUAUAACAAUGACAACCGCAUGGUUGUUAUUUAAAAGAUGGUUCUGCUAUCACUAAGAGAUGGUCCCGCGGUGCAUUAGCUAGUUGGUAAGGUAAUGGCUUACCAAGGCGAUGAUGCAUAGCCGAGUUGAGAGACUGAUCGGCCACAAUGGGACUGAGACACGGCCCAUACUCCUACGGGAGGCAGCAGUAGGGAAUCUUCCACAAUGGGCGAAAGCCUGAUGGAGCAACGCCGCGUGUGUGAUGAAGGGUUUCGGCUCGUAAAACACUGUUGUAAGAGAAGAAUGACAUUGAGAGUAACUGUUCAAUGUGUGACGGUAUCUUACCAGAAAGGAACGGCUAAAUACGUGCCAGCAGCCGCGGUAAUACGUAUGUUCCAAGCGUUAUCCGGAUUUAUUGGGCGUAAAGCGAGCGCAGACGGUUAUUUAAGUCUGAAGUGAAAGCCCUCAGCUCAACUGAGGAAUUGCUUUGGAAACUGGAUGACUUGAGUGCAGUAGAGGAAAGUGGAACUCCAUGUGUAGCGGUGAAAUGCGUAGAUAUAUGGAAGAACACCAGUGGCGAAGGCGGCUUUCUGGACUGUAACUGACGUUGAGGCUCGAAAGUGUGGGUAGCAAACAGGAUUAGAUACCCUGGUAGUCCACACCGUAAACGAUGAGUGCUAGGUGUUUGAGGGUUUCCGCCCUUAAGUGCCGCAGCUAACGCAUUAAGCACUCCGCCUGGGGAGUACGACCGCAAGGUUGAAACUCAAAGGAAUUGACGGGGACCCGCACAAGCGGUGGAGCAUGUGGUUUAAUUCGAAGCAACGCGAAGAACCUUACCAGGUCUUGACAUCCCUUGACAACUCCAGAGAUGGAGCGUUCCCUUCGGGGACAAGGUGACAGGUGGUGCAUGGUUGUCGUCAGCUCGUGUCGUGAGAUGUUGGGUUAAGUCCCGCAACGAGCGCAACCCUUAUUACUAGUUGCCAGCAUUCAGUUGGGCACUCUAGUGAGACUGCCGGUGACAAACCGGAGGAAGGUGGGGAUGACGUCAAAUCAUCAUGCCCCUUAUGACCUGGGCUACACACGUGCUACAAUGGCGUAUACAACGAGUUGCCAACCCGCGAGGGUGAGCUAAUCUCUUAAAGUACGUCUCAGUUCGGAUUGUAGGCUGCAACUCGCCUACAUGAAGUCGGAAUCGCUAGUAAUCGCGGAUCAGCACGCCGCGGUGAAUACGUUCCCGGGUCUUGUACACACCGCCCGUCACACCAUGAGAGUUUGUAACACCCAAAGCCGGUGGGGUAACCUUUCGGGAUCCCCACU